AAGUCGAGCGGAUCGAUGGGAGCUUGCUCCCUGAGAUCAGCGGCGGACGGGUGAGUAACACGUGGGUAACCUGCCUGUAAGACUGGGAUAACUCCGGGAAACCGGGGCUAAUACCGGAUAACUCAGUUCCUCGCAUGAGGAACGGUUGAAAGGUGGCUUUUAGCUACCACUUACAGAUGGACCCGCGGCGCAUUAGCUAGUUGGUGAGGUAACGGCUCACCAAGGCGACGAUGCGUAGCCGACCUGAGAGGGUGAUCGGCCACACUGGGACUGAGACACGGCCCAGACUCCUACGGGAGGCAGCAGUAGGGAAUCUUCCGCAAUGGACGAAAGUCUGACGGAGCAACGCCGCGUGAGUGAAGAAGGUUUUCGGAUCGUAAAACUCUGUUGUUAGGGAAGAACAAGUGCCGUUCGAAUAGGGCGGCACCUUGACGGUACCUAACCAGAAAGCCACGGCUAACUACGUGCCAGCAGCCGCGGUAAUACGUAGGUGGCAAGCGUUGUCCGGAAUUAUUGGGCGUAAAGCGCGCGCAGGUGGUUUCUUAAGUCUGAUGUGAAAGCCCACGGCUCAACCGUGGAGGGUCAUUGGAAACUGGGGAACUUGAGUGCAGAAGAGGAAAGUGGAAUUCCAAGUGUAGCGGUGAAAUGCGCAGAUAUCU
rnacentral:rRNA from 1 species